UCCCAGACUCCUACGGGAGGCAGCAGUGGGGAAUAUUGCACAAUGGGGGAAACCCUGAUGCAGCGACGCCGCGUGAAGGAAGAAGUAUUUCGGUAUGUAAACUUCUAUCAGCAGGGAAGAAAAUGACGGUACCUGACUAAGGAGCCCCGGCUAACUACGUGCCAGCAGCCGCGGUAAUACGUAGGGGGCAAGCGUUAUCCGGAUUUACUGGGUGUAAAGGGAGCGCAGGCGGCACGGCAAGCCUGAUGUGAAAGCCCGCGGCCCAACCGCGGGACUGCAUUGGGAACUACCGGGCUGGAGUGCCGGAGAGGUAGGCGGAAUUCCUAGUGUAGCGGUGAAAUGCGUAGAUAUUAGGAGGAACACCAGUGGCGAAGGCGGCCUACUGGACGGUGACUGACGCUGAGGCUCGAAAGCGUGGGGAGCAAACAGGAUUAGAUACCCUAGUACAC
rnacentral:rRNA from 1 species